AAACUAACAAGGAUUCCCCUAGUAACGGCGAGUGAAGCGGGAUGAGCUCAAAUUUAAAAUCUGGCAGUCUACGAUUGUCCGAAUUGUAAUCUCGAGAAGUGUUUUCCGCGUUGGCCUGUGUACAAGUCCCUUGGAACAGGGCGUCAUAGAGGGUGAGAAUCCCGUCCUUGACACAGACUCCCAAUGCUUUGUGAUACACUCUCAAUGAGUCGAGUUGUUUGGGAAUGCAGCUCAAAAUGGGUGGUAAAUUCCAUCUAAAGCUAAAUACUGGCGAGAGACCGAUAGCGAACAAGUACCGUGAGGGAAAGAUGAAAAGCACUUUGGAAAGAGAGUCAAACAGUACGUGAAAUUGUUGAAAGGGAAACGAUUGAAGUCAGUCGUGCCUGCCUAGAUUCAGCCUUCUGGUGUAUUUCUAGGUUGGCAGGUCAGCAUCAGUUUGGGAGGGUUAACAAGGGAGUUAGGAAUGUGGCAACCCCGGUUGUGUUAUAGCCUAGUUUCGCAUUGAUCCUGCCGGACUGAGGAACGCAGUGCGCCCGCAAGGGUAGGUCUUCGGAUACUUUCGCACUUAGGAUGCUGGCAUAAUGGCUUUAAACGAC
rnacentral:rRNA from 1 species